rnacentral:RNase_P_RNA from 1 species
GUUGAACAGCCGCGGGCAAGCGCCGAAAGGGCUUGUGCGAGGAAAGUCCGGGCUUCACAGAGCAAUAAUAACGGCUAACAGCCGCCGGGGGCGACCCCAGGGCCAGUGCAACAGAAAAUUACCGCCCGGGCAGCUUUGCCCGGGUAAGGAUGGAAAGGUGAGGUAAGAGCUCACCGGAGGGUGGGAGACCACUCUGCCGUGUAAACCCUAUUUGAAGCAACACCGUGGUAGGACAAAUACGCUUGCUCGGCGUGUCCUUAGGAGGUGGCAUCGAGCGGCACGGGUAACCUGCCGCCAAGAUAGAUGGCUGUUCACGACAGAACCCGGCUUACAGAUGCA